AUGGCCACUGUUGUAGAUAAUGAAGUCAUGAGAUCUAUUACACAUUUGCUGCUAGAAGAAGACAAAUCCCCGAAGUAAUCAAGCCAACCAGGGAGGUACAUAGGCAUGUAUUUGCUUCUCAUAAUUGCUUGGACCAAAACAUAAGCAAUUCCAUCCAAGUUCAUGAUUACAUUCUAUGAUUCACAAACAAGCAAGCUGGGGUAGUUUGUUCGUAGACCUGUUUCAUCUAUGUCUACAGGUCUUCUAUGUACAUGUGGUGUGUUAUGCUCCAGUCUACACAAGAUACGAACUGAGUAUAGAAGGUUUUCUUUAAAGAACGUUCUAGUUCAGGUUAUUGACAACCGGGGCUGGGGUUCUGACAAAGAGAGAGAGAGAGAGAGAGUUGUAAACUAUUUAGGUGUUUUAUCUUGGAAAGUAUAAUUUUAUUGACUACAAAGGCUGGGCAUAGAAGCUUUCCUAAACCAUAGGAUGUAUGUUAAACAAUAUUCUUAUUUACAUUCACCUGUCCAUCUCUCUUAUUUUUAUUUUAUUCUGGUUAAAGCUAGGGAAAAUUAUUAGAAAGUCCCAUUUCACAAACUGUUGCACCAUGUGAUCCCACAUUUUUUCUGUUAGAUUGGCAAGUCCUGUUGCUGUGUUCUUUUAA